AGAGAAAGGGGACUGACAUGUCAAACUUUAACCCAUUCACAAUUUGCAGAAUUUCCGAUGUUCCUCAACAAAGUGAUGGUACUUCAUGUGGCAUUAUGACAGUCAAAUAUAUUGAGUACCUUAGUGCCGGCAUUCCUUUACAUACCAUUGACCCAUCGAAGUUUGGCUACUACCGAUUGAAGCUUGCAAUCGAGGCUUUCAGGGGGGAGGCCUAUGUAUGAGGUGGUCCUUCGAGCUUCAUACCCAUAUUGACAUCUCAGAUUCUGUACACGUAU